CCCCCUGCCUGCUUCCCUCCUUCCCCUAGCGGUUGAUUGCGAGGAGCAGCGGAAGGAAGGAUGUAUCAAACCGAAAGAAGAAAGAACCCCUGCCAGUCGCCCCCAUGACAUCCGACUCUGAACGGCAGCGAUCUCGAGGCUGCAGCGUGUCGCAGAUUAACAGCAGCGAGGGCAGGAGGCAAAUCAGAUGCUGCAAGAGCUGACUGUUUUCUUUAGCCCUGAGAGCUGACUGUAGGCACAGGUUGCAUAUCAAAGGCAACAGGAAUCAGUCCGUGGCAAUAUUACAUCAGGGACCUUUUCAGUAGAGCCUCUUAAGACACAUGUUUUGGAAUGCAGUCAAAUGCGUGCUGCUGUAUGACCAGCCUAUUCGAUUAUGCCUCCAAAUCCUAUGGAAGUGUAACAACCAUAGAGCAGACAAACACCAACAGCAUCAACAACAGAGAAACUCAGUCCAGGAGGAUAUGAAACCCUUUGUAAUAAAGAAAGCAACAGCCAUGAA